rnacentral:rRNA from 1 species
AAAACUGAGGUGGUAUACGAUGGUUCCGCGUCUGAUUAGCUAGUUGGUGGGGUAAUGGCCUACCAAGGCGACGAUCAGUAGCCGGCCUGAGAGGGUGAACGGCCACAUUGGGACUGAGACACGGCCCAAACUCCUACGGGAGGCAGCAGUGGGGAAUAUUGCACAAUGGGGGAAACCCUGAUGCAGCGACGCCGCGUGAGUGAAGAAGUAUUUCGGUAUGUAAAGCUCUAUCAGCAGGGAAGAAAAUGACGGUACCUGAUUAAGAAGCCCCGGCUAACUACGUGCCAGCAGCCGCGGUAAUACGUAGGGGGCAAGCGUUAUCCGGAUUUACUGGGUGUAAAGGGAGCGUAGACGGCAGCGCAAGUCUGAAGUGAAAUGCCGGGGCUUAACCCCGGAACUGCUUUGGAAACUGAGCAGCUAGAGUGCAGGAGAGGUAAGUGGAAUUCCUAGUGUAGCGGUGAAAUGCGUAGAUAUUAGGAGGAACACCAGUGGCGAAGGCGGCUUACUGGACUGUAACUGACGUUGAGGCUCGAAAGCGUGGGGAGCAAACAGGAUUAGAUACCCUGGUAGUCCACGCGGUAAACGAUGAUUACUAGGUGUUGGGGGACCAAGGUCCUUCG